CUUAUACUCCUUCCGUCUCAAAAUUCUUGUCUUAAAUUUGUAUAUAUAUGAAUGUAUCUAGCCACGUUUUAGUAUUUACAUACAUCCAUUUCUAGACAAAUUUAAAACAAGAAUUUUAGGACGGAGGGAAUAUUUA
rfam:Hordeum vulgare subsp. vulgare, WGS project CAJW01000000 data, contig: morex_contig_6663